UAUCUCUGUAGAGUCUGCAUAUCAAUAAGCGGAGGAAAAGAAACUAACUAGGAUUCCCUUAGUAACGGCGAGUGAAGCGGGAAGAGCUCAAAUUUGAAAUCUUCAAGGUUUUACCUUGACGAAUUGUAGUUUAAAGAAGUGUUUUCUGUUGGUGUUUUGGUAAAAGUUCUUUGGAAUAGGACAUCAUAGAGGGUGAGAAUCCCGUAUUUGACCAUUACUUCCAGCGUUGUGAUACACUUUCAAAGAGUCGGAUUGUUUGGGAAUGCAGUCCAAAAUGGGUGGUAAAUUUCAUCUAAAGCUAAAUAUUGGCGAGAGACCGAUAGCGAACAAGUACCGUGAGGGAAAGAUGAAAAGAACUUUGAAAAGAGAGUUAAACAGUACGUGAAAUUGUCAAAAGGGAAGCGUUUGACACCAGUGUUGUUUUCUCGAAAAUCAAUUAAAAAAGGCAGGAUUUUGUGUUGUAUUGACUUUAUCAGCUUUCUGCACUCUUUUCUUGUCUUUUUUAAUGCACUUUUCGUUUAACAAGUCAACAUCAAUUUCUUUUGUUGUAAAAGGGUCAUUGGAAGGUGGCCUUCUUUUCGGAGAAAGUGUUUAUAGCCUUUGGCCUCUGCAAUCGGAGAGAUCGAGGUCUGCAGCGUAGAUCCUUCGGGGUUAGAUACAUUUGUGCUAAGUUAUAGCCUUUCAUAGACAACUUGUUGACUAUGAUCAGUCAUGUAGCUUACUCGCUUAUGCUAUUUUACCUACGCUUAGGAUGUUGAUAGUCACAGCGUGUAC
rnacentral:rRNA from 1 species